rnacentral:rRNA from 1 species
UACGUAGGGGGCAAGCGUUGUCCGGAUUUAUUGGGCGUAAAGAGCGUGUAGGCGGCUUGGCAGGUCAGCUGUGAAAACUCGAGGCUCAACCUCGAGACGUCGAUGGAAACCAUCUAGCUAGAGUCCGGAAGAGGAGAGUGGAAUUCCUGGUGUAGCGGUGAAAUGCGCAGAUAUCAGGAAGAACACCCGUGGCGAAGGCGGCUCUCUGGUACGUGACUGACGCUGAGACGCGAAAGCGUGGGGAGCGAACAGG